GUCACGUGAGCGCGCGUGCGUUGUGUCUGUGCCGCCAUCCUGCCCUGGCCGGACAUCGCCCCCGGUCUGCUCGGGAAGGGCGCCGGCAGGCGGGCACCGUGGCCCCGAAGGAAGGAGGGAGCCCCCAGCGUUUUCCCAGGAUGUGCGUGCCGAUUUUUAGGUCUGAAACUCAAGUAACACCAAGUCAGCCUGCCUGGUCCACCAGUUAUUUCAUCAUCUGCUUACUGUGAGGAAACAUACUGAAGAAGGUGUGAUCAUGAGAGGUGCACUUUUGUAAGUUGAGAUAUUUCUAACAGAUGAAGAGAGGCAACGCAUUUUAGGAAUAGCCUGAAGGGGGAGCCAUUGCUAUAGGAGAAGCAACAAUUAAGGCAGAAUUACUUAAUAAAAGAAAAAAUUUUACCUUUA